UAUUUAUUUAUUUAUUUAUUUAUGAAAAGAGAGCAGCCACCCCUUGGUGGGGAUUUUGGCAAUCAGGUUGAGCAGGUGCACUGAGUUGCAUGGUUUGGUGAUUGCAAAAAGGCUGCAGCUGGAUGUCGCUGGCUUAGGGCUGCCUCUGUGGGGUCAUUGUAUUGCUGUGGUGCUGGGACACAGGAGGUAAGGUGUGAUAGUGGCUCAUGAGGAGUGGUAAUAUAUGUACCUGAGCUUUCUCCUUGAGCUGAUCAGCCUCUUUGGUUCUUGUUUUCUUCUUUGUAACAGCGGAACUUGACCUUGGCCUCGUGGGCUGCAAGAUUUAAAGCGUGGUGGCUGUAUGCCAGCAGGGAUGAAAGCAAGACCUCACAUUGGAGGGGUCACCUGGAGGAGGGGGCUCUGGACCGCUGGCUCAUAUCUGCCCUGGGACUGGCUCUGCUUCGUACCGGACCACGUCCACCUGCCUGUGAGAACAGAGAUAGCCAUGAAUGACUUAAUUCUGAUCUUCCAUCCAGCUGAAGUCAGCAGAGUAAAGACGAUGUAAACAGGGUCAGAGUCAGUCUCUCAGUCACGAUAAAUUUCCGUAUGCUGGUGGCAGUAUGUUCAGAAUGCUUUGAAGUGCUGGUUUGUCAGAGUUCACAACAGUUCAUUUCAGCUCCAAAUAAAAUAUUAUCUGACUUUGCUGGCUUUCCA
rnacentral:lncRNA from 1 species